GUAAGCGUGCGUAGGUGGUGGUUUAAGUCUGCUGUGAAAGCCCUGGGCUCAACCUGGGAAUUGCAGUGGAUACUGGAUCACUAGAGUGUGGUAGAGGGAUGCGGAAUUUCUGGUGUAGCAGUGAAAUCGUAGAGAUCAGAAGGAACAUCCGUGGCGAAGGCGGCAUCCUGGGCCAACACUGACACUGAGGCACGAAAGCGUGGGGAGCAAACAGGAUUAGAUACCCUGGUAGUCCACGCCCUAAACGAUGCGAAUGGAUGUUGGGUGCAACUUGGCACCCAGUAUCGAAGCUAACGCGUUAAGUUCGCCGCCUGGGGAGUACGGUCGCAAGACUGAAACUCAAAGGAAUUGACGGGGGCCCGCACAAGCGGUGGAGUAUGUGUUUAAUUCGAUGCAACGCGAAGAACCUUACCUGGUCUUGACAUCCACGGAACUUUCCAGAGAUGGAUUGGUGCCUUCGGGAACCGUGAGACAGGUGCUGCAUGGCUGUCGUCAGCUCGUGUCGUGAAUGUUGGGUUAAGUCCCGCAACGAGCGCAACCCUUGUCCUUAGUUGCCAGCACGUAAUGGUGGGAACUCUAAGGAGACCGCCGGUGACAAACCGGAGGAAGGUGGGGAUGACGUCAAGUCAUCAUGGCCUUACGACCAGGGCUACACACGUACUACAAUGGUGGGGACAGAGGGCUGCAAACCCGCGAGGGUGAGCCAAUCCCAGAAACCCUAUCUCAGUCCGGAUUGGAGUCUGCAACUCGACUCCAUGAAGUGGAAUCGCUAGUAAUCGCAGAUCAGCAUUGCUGCGGUGAAUACGUUCCCGGGCUGUACACCCCCGGAAGGAAAGAAGG
rnacentral:rRNA from 1 species